AUGCGUUUUCAAAUUGGUUGUAUCAACACCUAUGGCUGGGGUCACCAGAUGAUGCUGAAUUUUGUAAGAAACUGCUUCCCAGAGCAGGCGACCUCCACUUUCAGGGUGCAAGGGAGGCCCCCCACCUCGAGAGCCCUGCUGCAGCAGCCUCUCCCCACUCUGCACUCUCCAAGGGCCUUGGUGGCUAAGAGAAGAGAGUGGGCCCCUCGCCCAGCCCGGGCCCUACCCAGCCUCCUGAGGGCUUGGCAGCGGAUGGAAGGGAAGCCCACAGGCACCCCCACCAGCCCCCACCAGCCCCCCUGGGGCCCCACCUGUCCUACCGGGCAGCCUGGAAUCCAGGCAGGUGGCUGGGCGGGCUCACACCCGGCCCUCCCCAGCAGGCACCCGGGCCAGCUCAGGCGGGAGCGCCGCCCAGACUUCAGGGGCCUGGGUCCCACUGCUGGAGCUGAAGGUGGGCCAGCACCUCCUCCCCUGCCCUGUUUCCUCCCCAAACAACGGGGCUGCUCAUCGCCAGUGAUCUCGGCUCUGCUCCACGCCUGCACGGCCCGUACCCACUGCGGCUGUCCCCCGUCCGCAGAGGGGAGGCUGAGGCCCAGGAGGGAAACGCUCUGUCCACCCAGGUCCAGCUGGGGGCGGACCCCAGGCCUGGCCUCCCGAGCCUCGGGCCUCCUGGAGGGCCCCGGCAGCCACCGCAGAGAAAGAGGGACAGGAGGACAGAGGCCCAACGUGGGGGCAGCUCAGGGAUCUCAGGCCCCCAGGCAGAGCGGGCUCCCGGAGCUGGGUGGGCCCUAACCUGGGGCAGCGCAGCCAGCAAAGCCGAGCACAGUGAUCCCGCCCCUGCCUCCGCCACGAGCCCCUCGGGGCCGUGGGCCUGGAUUCCCUGGACGCUCCUGACCCACCUCUGCCUCAGAAGCAUGAGAACCAACAGCACGCCUCUGGCGGGACUGGGUUUUUCCCAGCCUCGCUCGCAGGGUGCCAAGCGCCGGCUCUCAGGUUCUGAGUCGCAGUCUGCAGCCAGCCCCCAGGUUAGGUCAGGGCCCAGGGGCCCUGGUGGGAUAGAGAGCCCCUCAGGGUGGAGCCUGGCCUGUAAGUGUGGUCUGUGAGUGCGUGAAUGAAUGAGGAACCAAGGCCCCCACAGCCCGGGAUUCC
rnacentral:lncRNA from 1 species